UGGCGGCUAUUCGUACAGCAGAGCAACAAAUUCUA
rnacentral:sRNA from 1 species